rnacentral:lncRNA from 1 species
AAGCACAGACCAGAUAUGAAGGCCGAAGGACCAAGAGGUCAAAGGGUCUCCUUCAGCUCCACCUCCUGGAGGCUCUCCUGGACAACCCCGGGGGAACAGCCCGAGCAGCCUCUCCUUCUGGUGUCCCAGCACAUCUCAGCUCAGGCACCAACGGGGUUUCCAGCUUUAACAGGGCCCAGCACAGCUCACUGCCGCUGGAGCUGGAGGAAAACAAGGAUGCCUUUUGGCGCUUGCUCUCUGCGUGAUCUCAGAGCGGUGAAGAUGCCGCGGGAGACACAGCCCGUGUGGAGCGUGCGAGGAGGGCUUUCUACCAGGCACCAUUCAGCCACAGCCCGUUGGUCCAGACAGGAGCGAUGCUUCUGGUUUCAGCAGGAAACAGGGGGGAGAAGACACCACACAAAUGCACAGGGCUCAAUCUCCCCUCCAUGCAACCUGGCACAAGUUCUUGCGGAGAUGGGCUGUCCUGCACCAGCUGAAAACCCAAACCAUGUUGCAGGUGGCGUGAGCUUUCUCUUCUCUCAAGACAACACCAUUGCUCAAUGAUCAAAAGUUGAUUGGAAAUGGAAACAAAUCCACCUGGAAAAAAAAAAUCAAACUUUUUUCCACCUCACGUGCUUUGAAACUCUCCCCUUUUCUAUGAUUUUCAUCAUUAAUUGAAGUUAUUGUUAUUUUAGGAAACCUUUUGAAACGUGCCUUUUGGUGAGAACAUGUAGGGUCUGGCCAAUAAAAGAAUUACUACCAGGAUUUCA